rnacentral:rRNA from 1 species
UUUGAUCUUAGGUCGGGCAGGAGCACCCGCCCAAUUUAAGCAUAUAACUAAGCGGAGGAAGAGAAACCAACGGGGAUUCCCUUGGUAGAGGCGAGCGAACCGGGAAUAGCCCAGACUGAAAAUCCGGGGGCUGUGCUGCUCCCUGAAUUGUAGUCUUGAGAGGCAACCUCUGCAGCGGGCCGUGUGCAGGUUCCCUGGAAGGGGACGCCGAAGAGGGUGACAACCCCGUCGACCGUCGGAUCCUGUUGUGCAACGAGGUCUUGUCCAAGAGUCGGGUUGCUUGGGAAUGCAGCCCCAAUUGGGUGGUAAGUCCCAUCCAAGGCUAAAUAUGUGCGAGGGAACGAUAGCAAAGAAGUACCGCGAGUGAAGGAUGAAAAGAACUUUGAAAAGAGAGUUAAAGAGUGCUUGAAAUUGCCGAGCGAGAAGCGGAUGGAGGGGAAGUCUUGCGCUCCCGUCUGGGCAAGGGUGGACGGCGAUUCUGUUGUCGCCCCCCUUGUUGGACGUGGGGUGCCUGCCAGCAUGGGCUGCUGUGAUUGGCAUUGCGGAGCGAUUGAAACCCCCCACGGGUGGCCGUCACGGCAGUCGAGGACCUUGAGCACGCRCCUCUUUCGGCGGGCCCGUUCGGGAUCGUGCGUGUUCGGGAUGCUGGCGAAAUUCCUCUAUCCUGCCCGUCUUGAAACACGGACCGAGGAGUUCAAYGUGCAUGCGAGCCGGUGGGUGAUCAGCCCAGGAGGCGGAAGAAACCUGAGUGGUGGGACCCCUCUGAGGGUGCACCGUCCGCCAACCACGAUCUGCUGUGAGAGGUUUGAGUGUGAGCAUGCCCGUUGGGACCCGAAAGAUGGUGAACUAUACCUGAGCAGGGCGAGGCCAGAGGAAACUCUGGUGGAGGCUCGCAGCGAUACUGACGUGCAAAUCGUUCGUCGGACUUGGGUAUAGGGGCGAAAGACUAAUCGAACYGUCUAGUAGCUGGUUCCCUCCGAAGUUUCCGUCAGGAUAGCUGGAGUUGUUGAACAGUUUUAUCGGGUAAAGCGAAUGAUUAGAGGCCUCGGGGGUGAAACACCCUCGACCUAUUCUCAAACUUUAAGUAGGUAAGAUUUCGGGGUUGCUUAAGCGAACCCCGAGGAUCAAUGAAAGCUCCAAGUGGGCCAGUUUUGGUAAGCAGAACUGAUGAUGUGGGAUGAACCGAAAGUCAAGCUACGGUGCCAAACUGCGCGCUAACCCAGACACCACAAAGGGUGUUCAUUGAUAAAGACAGCAGGACGGUGGUCAUGGAAGUCGAAAUCCGSUAAGGAGUGUGUAACAACUCACCUGCCGAAUCAAUCAGCCCCGRAAAUGGAUGGCGCUGAAGCGCGCGACCUAUGCUCGGCCGUCUCGUCGAUUCUGACGCCGCGACGAGUAGGAGGGCGCGAGACCUGCUGCGAAGCUUGGAGCGUGAGCGUAGGUGAAGCGGGUCCCGGUGCAGAUCUUGGUGGUAGUAGCAAAUAUUCAAAUGAGAACUUUGAAGACCGAAGUGGAGAAGGGUUCCAUGUGAACAGCNGUAGUAGCAAAUAUUCAAAUGAGAACUUUGAAGACCGAAGUGGAGAAGGGUUCCAUGUGAACAGCGCUUGGACAUGGGUCAGUCGGCCCUAAGAGAUGUGGAAACCGUGUAUCAAGGGCGCACUGCGCGCCGCACAUCGAAAGGGGGYCGGGUUAAUAUUCCCGAACCGGGUUGUGGAGGUGGACGGUAACGUAAGCAGCUCCGAAGAUGCCGGCGGGGGCCGUGGGGAGGGUUCUCUUUCCUUCUUGACUGCUCGCCCACCCUGGAAUCGGAUCAACCGGAGAUAGGGUGCGGCGCCCGACAAAGCACCGCGUCCUGCGGUGUCCAGCGCGCCCCCGACGACCCUUGAAAAUCUGGAGCUGCGGGUACCUCUCACUCUCGGCCGUACUCAUAACCGCAUYAGGUCUCCUAGGUGAGCAGCCUCCGGUCAAAGGAAGAAUGCAGGUAAGGGAAGUCGGCAAUAUGGAUCCGUAACCUUGGGAAAAGGAUUGGCUCUGAGGGCUGGGCCUAGGGCCCAGUGCUCUGAAUGUCAAAGUGAAGAGAUUCAACCAAGCGAGGGUAAACGGCGGGAGUAACUAUGACUCUCUUAAGAUAGCCAAAUGCCUCGUCAUCUAAUUAGUGACCCGCAUGAAUGGAUUAACGAGAUUCCCACUGUCCCUAUCUACCAUCCUGCGAAACCACAGCCAAGAAAACGGGCUUGGAAGAAUCGGCGGGGAAAGAAGACCCUGUUGAGCUUGACUCUAGUUCGACUCUGUGAAAUCACUUGAGAGGUGUAGAAUAAGUGGCAGCCUUACGACGCAAGUGAAAUAGCACCACUUUUAACGUUGUUUUACUUAUUUCGUGAGGUGGAGCCGGGGCUCUGCCCCUGCUUCUCGAUCCAAGGUGCAGGCCCUCGUGCGCUGUUCCAUCCAAGCGAAAGACAUUUGUCCGGUGGGGAGUUUGGCUGGGGCGGCACAUCUGUUAGAAGAUAACGCAGGUGUCCUAAGAUAAGCUUAACGAGAAUUGAAAUCUCGUGUAGAGCAAAAGGGCAAAAGCUCAUUUGAUUUUGAUUUCCAGUACGAAUACAAACUGUGAGAGCGUGGAUGGCAAGAGUCCGAGUGGUUAGGACACCGGUUAGAAAUGCGCAUUGUGGUUUAAAGGUUGCGGGUUCAAAUCCGCUUCCUUGCGCAUAGGCUGCCGUUUCGCGCUUUCAUAGCGAAUAGCCAUCCACACACCGGUUGCUGCGGGUUGGAGUCGGUGUUGGGGGGAUCGAGUCCCGGCUGCAGUU